rnacentral:rRNA from 1 species
AUUGAACGCUGGCGGCAUGCUUUACACAUGCAAGUCGAACGGCAACAGGCCGCAAGGUGCUGACGAGUGGCGAACGGGUGAGUAAUGCAUCGGAACGUGCCCAGUCGUGGGGGAUAACGCAGCGAAAGCUGUGCUAAUACCACAUACGAUCUAUGGAUGAAAGCGGGGGACCGUAAGGCCUCGCGCGAUUGGAGCGGCCGAUGUCAGAUUAGGUAGUUGGUGGGGUAAAGGCCCACCAAGCCAACGAUCUGUAGCUGGUCUGAGAGGACGACCAGCCACACUGGGACUGAGACACGGCCCAGACUCCUACGGGAGGCAGCAGUGGGGAAUUUUGGACAAUGGGCGCAAGCCUGAUCCAGCAAUGCCGCGUGCAGGAAGAAGGCCUUCGGGUUGUAAACUGCUUUUGUACGGAACGAAAAGGUCUGGGUUAAUACCCUGGGCCGAUGACGGUACCGUAAGAAUAAGCACCGGCUAACUACGUGCCAGCAGCCGCCGUAAUAC